rnacentral:rRNA from 1 species
CUACGGAGGAUGCAAGCGUUAUCCGGAUUUAUUGGGUUUAAAGGGUGCGUAGGCGGAUGAUUAAGCGUGAGGUGAAAUGCCACUGCUCAACAGUGGAACUGCCUCGCGAACUGGUUGUCUUGAAUGCUCCUGCCGUGGGAGGAAUGUGUGGUGUAGCGGUGAAAUGCAUAGAGAUCACACAGAACACCGAUUGCGAAGGCAUCUCACGAAGGGGUGAUUGACGCUGAGGCACGAAAGCGUGGGGAUCAAACAGGAUUAGAUACCCUGGUAGUCCACGCAGUAAACGAUGAUAACUAACCGCUGGGUCGUAGUGAUUCAGUGGCCAAGCGAAAGCGAUAAGUUAUCCACCUGGGGAGUACGACCGCAAGGUUGAAACUCAAAUGAAUUGACGGGG